AACCUGGUUGAUCCUGCCAGUAGUCAUAUGCUUGUCUCAAAGAUUAAGCCAUGCAUGUCUAAGUAUAAACCUCUAUAUGGUGAAACUGCAGACGGCUCAUUACAACAGUGAUAAACUACAAGACUUUCGCGCUUCGGCGUUAUGGAUAACCGCAGUAAAUCGGGGCUAAUACAUAUAAACGAAAGACGAGCAAGCAAUUGCGAGUUCUUGCGAUUUUUAGCUACUAAAAUCGACCCUUUUAGGUCGUGUUGAAACCGAAAAAUAUUGCUGAUCGAGAAUUUCUCGACAAGUCUUAUGUGUCACUGCCCUAUCAACUCGAUGGUACGGUAUUGGCCUACCAUGGUUGCAACGGGUAACGGGGAAUUAGGGUUCGAUUCCGGAGAGGGAGCCUGAGAAAUGGCUGCCACUUCUACGGAAGGCAGCAGGCGCGCAAAUUACUCAAUUCCGAUACGGAGAAGUAGUGACAAUAAAUACAAAUGCUUUUCAAUUUUUUUGAGAGCAAUUUGAAUAAGUACAACUUAAAUCGCUUAGCUAAAGUGAUUGGAGGGCAAGUCUGGUGCCAGCAGCCGCGGUAAUUCCAGCUCCAAUAGCGUAUACUAAAUUUGUUGCAGUUAAAACGCUCGUAGUUAAAGUAAAGGUUACUUGGAUAAACAAGAAUAAUUUUUUUUAGAAUUAUUUAACGAAUUUUUAAUUAUUUUCAUAGUUAAAUUUUCACCAAGUUCCUUAUUUUUGGACUUAAAAAUUUAUUUUUUUGUCUAGUCUACUGUGAGAAAAUUGUAGUGUUUAAAGCAAGCUAUCAGCUUGAUCAAUGCAGCAUGGUAUAGAAAAAUAUGACACUAAGUAUUUUGUUGGUUUAAUACUCUAGUGUAAUGAUUAAUAGGGAAUGGCGGGGCCGUUCGUAUUGAUGGGCGAGAGGUGAAAUUCGUUGACCCUAUCAAGACGUACAACAGCGAAAGCAUUCGGCAAGUAUUUCUCCAUUAAUCAAGAACGAAAGUUUGGGGAUCGAAGACGAUCAGAUACCGUCGUAGUCCAAACCAUAAACAAUGUCGACCAGGGAUUGGACGGAAUUUUUUUAAAAAACUCGCUCAGAACCUUGUGAGAAAUCAUGAGUGUUUGGACUCUGGGGGGAGUAUGGUCGCAAGUCUGAAACUUAAAGGAAUUGACGGAAGGGCACACAAUGGAGUGGAACCUGCGGCUUAAUUUGACUCAACUCGGGAAAACUUACCAAGCUCAGAUAUAAUAAGGAUUGACAGACUAAAAGAUCUUUCAUGAUUGUAUAAGUGGUGGUGCAUGGUCGUUCUUAGUUGGUGGAGUGAUUUGUCUGGUCAAUUCCGAUAACGGACGAGACGUCUACUUGCUAACUAGUAAAAUUAAUUUUUUCGCUCGGGGAUAGUUAGUUUGUAUUGAUCUUUAUCAUCGCAAGGUGGUAAUUUUCGUAUAGAUUGAUGUGUACCUUGGAAAAAUAAAUUUUUUCAUAAACAUUAAACUUCUUAGAAGGACUACCUACCUCAAGUGGGGGGAAGUCGGACGCAAUAACAGGUCUGUGAUGCCCUUAGAUACCUUGGGCUGCACGCGCGUUACAAUGUAGAAAAGAAAAAGGCUUCCCGGAGCCGUAAGGCUCUGGUAAUCAUAUGAAUUUUCUACGUAAUAGGGAUUGAUCUUUGUAAUUAUCGAUCAUAAACGAGGAAUUCCUUGUAAGCGUAAAUCAUUACUUUACGCUGAAUAUGUCCCUGCCCUUUGUACACACCGCCCGUCGCUCCUACCGAUCGAACGAUUAGGUAAAAUUGACGGACUUUGACAUACUAGAAAUAGCUUGUUUUUGAAAGUUAUUUAAAUCUCAUUGUUUAGAGGAAGGAGAAGUCGUAACAAGGUAUCCGUAGGUGAACCUGCAGAAGGAUCAA
rnacentral:rRNA from 1 species